rnacentral:sRNA from 1 species
CACCAGAAUCUCAGGAGGCGUUCCUCGCGGAAUCCUCCCUUUUUUGGAGGAAAAUCUCACUUCGAGAUCCGCGGCUGCGACUAUUUCCCAUGUGGCUUUGUGGGGAAAGCGGAAAGCAGGAGCUUACUGCUGAAGUAACCGUGCAAUCAGAGCCAUUGGACCAACAGCCACUGGGAGAGCUCUCGGUCCUUGCCCCUGUCAGAUUGCUAAGUGAUUGAUUCAUUGUUACUGUUUGAAACUUCGGACGAUAACAAACCUGUUUGACGCAACCUUCGUGAGAAUAAUAAAAUACCAGUGGCUGACACUCCAUCAGCAAAAAGGAGAAAGAAACAGAAAACACAUAAAAAUGUAAUAACUUUCCAAUGGCCAUCCCCAGAAAAAAAAAAAAAAAAGAAGAAGGCUAAAAAGUCCGGGGAAUGGGUAUUUUUUUUAUUUAUGAAAUAAUAUUUUUUUUAACAGAAAAAAAGAAAAGAAAGG